UUGCUGACGAGUGGCGGACGGGUGAGUAAUGCUUGGGAAUCUGUCUUAUGGAGGGGGAUAACGACGGGAAACUGUCGCUAAUACCGCGUAGAGUCGGGAGACGAAAGUGCGGGACUUUAAGGCCGCAUGCCAUGAGAUGAGCCCAAGUGUGAUUAGGUAGUUGGUGGGGUAAAGGCCUACCAAGCCGACGAUCGCUAGCUGGUCUGAGAGGAUGGCCAGCCACACCGGGACUGAGACACGGUCCGGACUCC
rnacentral:rRNA from 1 species